AAGGAGACUUUCAAGAAGCAGAGGAGUACUAUUCGCGCGCUGCUCUGGCAGAUCCAGCAGAUGGUGAAAUCCUGUCACAGUAUGCUAAAUUGGUAUGGGACCUUCACCAUGACCAUGAUAAAGCUUUGGCUUACUAUGAGCAAGCAGUUCAAGCUACGCCAGCCGAUUGUAAUGUUCUAGCAGCGUAUGCUAGUUUUCUCUGGCAAACGGAAGAUGAUUCAAACCAACAAGAUCACUUCCAGGUACCACUCCAAGGAGGAGCCAUGGUAGCAGCUAAUUCUUAAGCUUGAAAGGCUAAAACCAUGCAAUCAGAAGCUUAAGGCUCUUCUCAAAUGCCUCGUAUUACAGUACAGAUAAGGGAUCAAAGCCCACCAAGUAGAAAAUACAUGGCAAUUAUAUUAUGUUUCAAUAAAGUUGAUGCCUGUGAUUCUCUCACUAGAGAUUUCUGUUUUGCUGAUUUACCAGUAAAGUACCAUACCAUUAAAA